UUUUUAUUUCUUAGUUAAGGGUCUCACUAUUUCUUGCACUCUCUUCUCCUGUCCAGUGAGUAUCUUUAUCAUCAUUGCUUUAAAUUCUCUAUCAGGCAUAUUAUUUACAUCUGUUUUUGUUUUGAUCUUUUGUCGUGGUUUCGGCAUGUUCUUUCAUUUGGGACAUAUUCCUCUGUCUCCUCACUUUGUCUAACUCUGUGUGUCUGUGCGUGUUAGGAAAGUCAGGUACUUCUCUUGUUCUUAGAAGUAAUAUCCUUAUCAAGAAGAGGUCCUGUGGUGUCCUGCAGUGCAGGGUACCCUGGUCCCCAGAACCUGCGAGUGUCUCCAAGUGUGUUCUCUUUGCCCUGCUGUGCCCUGGCUGCUUUGUCCUUCACUUGUCUGCAGUGUUAGGUCCCCAGCCAAGGUGGGGUGUCCAUCGUUACCAAGGUAUCCCUGGGGGCACUGCAGGGUCCCCCCUCCACACUGCGCAUCGGUCAGGAUGUGUGAUGUUGUCCGGGUGUGCACGGGUGCCCUAGGAUCAUUGCCUCUACAGUGCUGGGACUCUGGCAGGGGUGACUGGAAAGGGCAGAUGCACUGAGGUGCAGGCUGGGGGGAGCUUGCGCGAGCUAGGUAGGUGGUGCGUGUCGGGGCUCUGCUGGUUCCCACAGGUGUCCAUGUGUUUAUGCUGGGGCCGGAGGAGGGCAAUGGUGGCUGCCAGCUGCUUGGUUCCUGUGAUCCCUGCCUGUAGGGACAAGUCCUGAGGAGAGUAAACAACUCGCCCUCCUGUGUGCCCCAGGUAUUUUUCCAGCUGCUGCUUCUGCACUACUUCUGAGGGCUCUUUGUCGUUCUUUGUGCGGGAGAGGACUCAGCUUCCUGUGGUCCUCCGGGCUCUCCCAGAAGAGCAGGUUGGGUCCACACCAUGUGCCCGAGAGAAGGUCCACGUGGAUGGAUGAAUGAAGCAGAAAAGGUUAAGAAGGCAGAUCUGUGAGAAGGAGCCUCACUCAUGGUUAUUACUUCCUGUCUUGGUUUGGCUUCUCUCACUGAUUGAUUGACGGAUGGAUGGAUUGUGGAGGUGGAGAUGACAAAAACCAGGUGCCACUCUACUUGUGUUUGCCUGACAUUUCUGCCACUGUCCCCUGAAAGGCAGAUAAUAACAAAGCCCUCCUAAGCAACAUGUGACUAGAAGAGAGACAAGCUUACCUUCCGAAAUACUUCCUCCAGAUGAGAGCACCACGAAUACUUUUGGAAGCACGUGAUGAGUUGUGUAAUGAAGAGAGAUCCCUUGUUCACGUCUCUCCAAGACACAUGAUCUAAGGAGACAGGAAGCGGUCACCCUUGGGCUGUGGCCUUCGCCCUUAGAAUCACUCAGAGCUGGCCUCGGGCCCCCCAAUCCCUGUCUGCAACAGAAGGACACGUACGUGGGGUCGAGGAGCAGAAAGCGAUGAAGUCCUUCUCCACGUGGACCUUGUAAAUGGCGUCGUCCUCUAGGUUGUCACCCACCUGUGAAAGGCUGCUACCCAUCUGUGAAGUGCUGUCCAUUGGGGCCGCUGGAGAGUCACUGAUCAACAGUUCCCCCAAAUUUUCUGUGGAGACAUCGACUUGCUGCACACUGUACAGCUCCGAGUAUGCCUGGUCCAAUUACCCACCUCUUUCUUGUUAAAUAUUUAUUCUAACCAGUUUCAGACACACACACACACACACACACACACACACACACACACACACACCACUCUGCCUUUCUCUCGUGUUGUUGAGCAAUGUGCCCACUAAUGGUGAGAAUGUCAUAAAACUGGAAGAACCCAUUUUCUAAGACCAACAAAGGAGUUAAAGCCUCACUUGCAUCAUUUCAGAGAGCAGACUUAGAUUUUUCGCUAAAUAAUUUUUGUUUCCUUUUUAUCCCCCCAAAUGCCACUCCACAAAACCUAAGAGACCCUGGAUUAAGUCAAGUAGAGAUGUGUCAGUUGACAGGGCACAUUCUCAUGCUACCAGCCCCCUAGGUGGACUCUCCUAAUAGUUCAGUUUGGUUUCUAUGGCCUGAAUUGGGUCUACAAUCGUUCCCUCUAGAAAAAAAGUACACAUCACAGUUCUCUGCAAACAGCUUCAUCUCAGAACUCACCACCUCUGCAGGCCUGGACGAUGAUGACCUUGGGCUUGUCCUUUAGACUAAGGCAGUUGCGGUUGUUGAAAAUCUGGAAGAUGGUGUCAUAAGCCAAUACAUCUGGGUCUCCUUCAGCGCUGUACUUCGUCCCACAGAUUCCACUCAGGAUGCCAUGAGACAUGAACACCAGGAAUGUGCUGUCCGAGGACUUGUGCUCUGGACGGGCAGCAAAUGCCCUCAGCUCUGAUUCCAUGUCCUGAAAAAGACCUCCAAGUCUCACUUUGACAGGGACAAGCAUUUCAAUUAGCCUGACCUCCUACUCCUCAUGCACAGUGUAAGAACCAUCCGUGGCAUUCCACGUGCUGUGCCUUUUUCUGGUGGCUGCCCCAUCUUCCUAUCAUGGAGCAGUGGGUGGAACUUUCUGCUCCUGACGACACUAUAUAAACCAUCCUCUGGAUACAUGUUGCACUCGCCUCCCGUCCCUUAUGUAGUUUUUACUUUCCAACUCUGUCUUUUCUCUCAUUACCUGAUCAGAGUUUUGUGUCAUAAAGGCAUCACACAGCUUCCCUUGUAAAACCCAUCCCACCGUGCUUAGAAUGAAAUCGAACCGUGGAUGUACGAACACCCCCUCUCGCCCUGCCUCCUCCUCUCCUGGGCUGUGGUCACCAUAGUCUUUCUGUGGUGUUCCUGUGCCAGCUUUCCCAUUGCGUUCAGACUUGUCACUUGGAAUGUAUUUCAUCCACGCCUUUCUGGACCUGUCUUGUUCCAUGCACUGGUGUGCCUCGUUCUCUGUUACCUCCUCAGAGAGGUUUCUCUCGACCACCCCGUCCAACGUUCUUGCUCCCCACUCACCAGUUUGCUCUCAUGUUUCCUUUUCACUUGCUUUUGACUCUUUUCGGUCUUCUAGAGACACCCUGAAAUUUUCUGUUUUGCUUACAGAUUGAUUACUCUCGCUAAGUGCACCUAGAUCGUGGCAGGUGGGAGCUUCCUGUCUCAUUCACAGACCUGUACCCAGUGCCAGGAAUAACCCCUGGGACACAGUUGGGACUCAGUACAUUCGUGGCAAGUACAUUCUUGCUAAACGCUCGUUACUCUAGAGUUUUCUGGGCAGUGUUGGGGCCAAGUCCUAACCAUCCCACUUUGGAACAUGCCAAUCACUUUGUUCAGUUAUGGAACUGACGACAGUUAGAGCUCAAAAGAGGCAUAGAUUUUACUUUCCAAUACUUUCAUUUUAUAAAUACACACACACACACACACACACACACACACACACACACACACAGCUUAAGGUUGUCAAAAUAUUUGCCUAAUAUGCUAACACUAAUGUGUUAGUAGCAGUAUGGAUGUUGAACAUAUACUUGUUUGGGGCAGGUUAGGGGUCCCUACCUUAGCAGUGAGUUCCUCUUUUAUGUGCACACUGUAGCCAAGGUCUGUAAGCAGCCUCCUCAUCCCUGCAACAUCGAGGUCAGCCCCCUUCCUGAGAGAAAGAUGAUCGAACGUCGUAUUGCAGAUGAUGAGAGCCAGACGAGUACGAUCCUUUCUCUCCUUUAUUGGGUAGAUCUGCCAGAAAUGGGUUUGCAGUGAGUUCAGUUUGUCUCCCUCUCCUUUGAAAGCCUCACCCACCAGUCCCUGUUACGUGCUAAGGGCUCAUGUAACUGCCCCAACCCCUGAACCAGAAGACCCUGCCUUCUUAACUCUUUACAGUGGAUUGAGUUGACAAUGGAAAGAAUUACAAAUUGGAAGUAAAUGAUCUUUCAAGAGCCUGGAACAGGACCCAGUAUAUAUCUGCGAUGGUUACUCAGGAAUCUUGAGGGCCCUCGAAUAUUUCCUACUGUCUCUUCCUCUCUCUUCUCUGCCUGGUCUCAUCUUUCUUAGAAUUCAAGAUUCAGAUCAAUUUUUGUCAAAGUCGGGAGACACCUGCCAGUGGCCCCGGCUAAAAACGAUUGCAUCAGUGAUCCUUUGCCUUUGGUAACAUUAUUAUUCUGGUACUGGUUUUUGAAAACAUAGCAACAUACAGUGCUAUGCAGGCUUCAAUUCUAUUUUAAAAAUAUGCAUUAUAUCUAGGAUUUUCACUAGAAUGCAAACAAUUAUUACUUGGCCAUAUUCUCUUAUACAUAUUUUGCAUCCAUGACUAUGGCUAAAAUUGUCAUAAAUCACAAAUAGAUACUAGAACAAAUAGAUGAACAAAGUGAGAAAUGUACAUUUUAUCAUGGGGUUGAAAGAGAAUUAGAGUCUAUGUGAGGCCCCAUGAUUUCCUCCAUGCCCAAAGCAUCUAUGGGUAAGAUGACCACUGCCCCCACUCCCCAAACUCUGCAGGUAGUGCUUUAGGAAACCAUGUAUUUUGUGAAAACAGUUGUUUCUCUCUUAUUCUCUAUUUCACGGACGAGCACAGCACCUCUUCAGCCCUCUGUUUACACAGUUUCACGAAGUUUUCACGAGGACAAAGCUUGAGAGCAUCUACAGAUUCUUCUGGCUCAGCCGGCCCAGGCAUGUUAUUCACGCUAGCUGCAGGAUACAUCACAUGACAUAAAUUAUGAGAUCUGCCUUUGUGACCCACUUACCACUUCAGAAACUGACAAAGAAGGGAAACUAUGGGCAGAAGAUUUUUUAACACGUAAGGGUUAUGACUGUAUCUAACCUCUAGUGUGAGGAGAUGUAUUUUGACUAGGAAAGAAGGGGGGGAUUUUUAGUAGAGAAAGAAGAUCCACCUGAAAGUGCAAUAGUAGAUUCUGCUAAUUCUGAAGAAAACGCCUUGAUGAUUUGGGGUCAAAUUUAGCCUUUCCACCUUCAGCAGAAACAGUUUGAUUUUUCUAGUGGUUUUACUGUAGGGUCCUCACUCAUCCAAGUAGACUUUCUAUCGUCUCCGAGCAAGGACAUAUUGAGCUAAUAUCUAUUGGAGGUAUAGCCAUUAGAAAUGUAAUUGGGCCACCUGCGCAAGUCAAAAUUUUAUAAUGUCCAUGUUAAAAAAAAAAACUAAAAAGAAACAGAUGGCAUUAAUUAAUAUUAAUUGGCAUUAUUACUAACAUUAGCACUACAUUUUAACGUGAUAUGUCCAAAAUAUCACCCUUUCGGCACGUGUUACCAGCCAGGAGUCAGGCACCCAAUAGCCAGGUAUGGCUAGUGGCCGUCCUGUGGGACGAUGUACAAUUUUGAGCCCGUUCUUAUUUCAUGCAAUACACCCCAGACACGUAAUGGGAUCUUGAAUUGUGUACCAUCCAGCUGUCACUCGGCCCAGACUCUUGACCUUUCCAGUGGAGACAGGCUUCGGUGACUUGUCGCCAAGUUGUGAUGUCAGCUAUGUAGAGGGUCACUGCUGUGUCGUAACUCUAGGGCUCUGUCCAGAGACUCUACUGUGCUCUGGUGACACUUGCCCCCAGGUUGCUGAGUAACUCGUGCUUAGUUUUCAACCAGGUUUAAAAAUGUGAGGAAAUCCCUCCUCCCUUGUGGAGAAGUUUGUCUCCGGCUCAUCCUGACCCACUCCCUGGAGAAAUGUAGUGCUCUCAGACCCUGCUUGGCCUCACUUGACGGAGAUUGUGCAAGACACUUGGAAAGUCCAGGGCUCCCCCCCACCCCGCACCCCAGAGAAAUGAGGAAGAAGAAUUCACAAACAGAAUUUAGAAGUUUGCCAAGAGCUAUUCGAAAAGGAAGGAUUUUGUCUAUGAAAUGGGUAAACCUUUGUGUUCACUUACAUGAACCAAGAACACCUCUGAUUUUAUUUAAAUGAGAAAAGCAAUGUUACCCUGUAUAAAAUUUUCAGUUGUUUAUAUUCUACACUUUUUUUUCUAUUUCACUCAUUUGUUUCCAUUAGUUUUUAAAUAAUAUUUUUCUGAUAAAUGUCUUUCUAAAUGCUAAAAACCUGGAGAGGCAGCAGAUUACAAGUCUUUAAGGAAACCCAGCUUUCUGAAUCUUUUUUGAACAGUGACACAUGCUCUUCCUUUGUAUUCCAGAAGAUUCUGCCAGUGGGAGGACCUAUAGGGUCCUGGGAUAGUCUCUGGUCAGAGAGUACGUUUUCUCAUCAAAAGAGUUCUCGGUUUCCAGAUUGUGUCCAGCUUUGGCGAACACUCUAACUUAACAAAUGUUGGCUCCUAAUGACCAUUAUGUAUCUACAAAUAGAUACUGUGCUUGCAGAUGAAACUGGGAAUAGAUAGGAUUUCCAUCUCAUAUUUAAUGGUAAGGUUGGCAUGGAGAUGAAUCCAUUCAGUACCACAUAAUAAAUAUUAUAGUGCAGCCUGCUUCCCAAAGGGGGUUCUACUCACCUAGCAGCACAGUGGAAACAAAUGAGAGAAUUAAGAGUUGAGAUAAAAAUUUCAAUGUGUUUGUCUUAUCUGUUACCUAAUGAAAUGCUCCGAGAACCCCUUAAACUGAUACAAAGAGAGAGGGUCUGGUACCAGGUAAGACAAAGCCAUCCCUUUGGGAUGUAGGAACCCAAGUAGUUAUUUUUUUGUAGGAAUAACCAGUGUGUGGCACGUUAGCCUGCCCAAGUGUGAGCUUGUUACAUGAAAUGAACUAGUAGCUUGGAUUCCUCCUCUCCCCACUCCCCUCAGUACCAUGCUAGGAACCCUCAGAACCCUAUCCAUGUCCAGAAGGCUUGGCCAAUGUCCAGAAGGCCUGGCCAAGGUCUUUAUGUCCUACAGAAGGCCAGCUCGCCCAGCUUCCCGACCUGCCUGCAUUCUGGGAUCUCUCUGGAGGCUCUGUGUGCAGGGGGAUCCCAUGGAACCCCUGUGCCUGCCUCCCACCUGCCAUGGAUUCGGCUGAUGGCCUAAUGUAUUUUCCAUUUAAUGUGCGUUGUGAUGCCUGGAGUUGCUAAAAUUAUUUUGAAGCUCCCAUGACUUCGGUUUUGAUUCCCAUUUGCUGAAUUAUCGCUGAUUUUUUUUUAAAUCCACAUUGUCUCCAUUCCAUGUCAGAUUUAAGGGAAAGUAAUAAACCUGCCGAAGGUCCAAUUUAAAUACUAAUGAGGACACGGCCCAGGCCACCACGUUGGACGUCCAUCAGACUGGUGUGUGUGUCCUGCUGGUCAGGGGCGCCCCACCUCCAGAAAGGACUCAUUGAAAAAACUCAUUUGCUAUAGUGAAGUCUCUACAAUUUCUGUUAUCGUUUGUUAAUUAUUGCUUACUUUUAUUAGUAUAUUGAUAAGCUCUGGUAUGCAGGACUGAGAGUUCAGGUUAAACACUGUCGUAAAUUAAGUGUGCCACUAGUGACCUUGGACCCGGCGAGAUUUGGGCUCUAGUAAUAUUUAUAAUUCAAUGUAGAUCAGAAGUUUUAAAAUGUCCUAAUAGAUUGGACACGUUAUAGGUGUUCUCCUGAUCCUAUUUUGUAACUUGCAGAAAUGAGUGAGCCCUAGAAAGGUCUAAAUAUCAGAAGCAAAAUCAUAAUUAUGAUAAGUAACAUUUGUUGCCUGCACAUUCUUCAUUUGUUGUAUUCAUCCUGUAUUAAUUACGUGCCUGCUAUGUGGCCGGCACUCUGCUGAGAGCGAUUACUCACUUGUGAAGAAAACACUUGUGCUCUGGGUGAAGAGACUUGGUGGAUUAUAAUCCUGUGUAAUCAGAAGGGAACCCUGGAGAAGAGUGACUGUCUUAGCACAGAGGUUACCAAAAUUGUCACCAUUUCAGAGAUGCUGAGCCUGGUGCCCAGGGAGGGAAAGAAGCUUGAAUGAAAUCACGGAGUGUCUACAGUGACAGGACCUGGGUUCAAGGUCAAAUAUCCCUCACUGCAAAGUGUCCACAAGUACCUCUCUCUGAGAGCAACGUACAUGUAAAGACUUGGCUUCUUAGCUCAUUGGGGAUUGGAUCCCUGCCAGCAAAAGACAAGAUGGCCUCCAAAAGGACAACGACAGGUUUAGUGAAAACCACAUUCUAGUAAUGAAGGAUGGCAGGAUUAUAGAGGACCCUAGAGGGGCUUUGGAGGUGACUAGACUCCAGAAAAUUUGAGAUGCCCAUUGUAAGUGACUUUAGUUUACCUUCUAAACUGGUAGAAUGCUUGUCCGUAUUAAGGAAAGUUUGGACAAUGGCUUGACCUGCCUCCUUGGGUUUCUGACGCACUGAGUUCAGAAAGACCCGGGGCUUGUCUCCAGGUUUGGCAUCAUGAAAUUUUUUCUUUUCUGCUUCCUCCAAUUUCAGGACAUCUUUCUCCACCAAGUCUUGCAAAACGCCAGUAAGGAGCACUUUGCCCACAGAUUCCAAAAUCUUAAAUGGGUUUUGGUCGUGUUUGUCCUCUGUAGGAAAUACAAAGACCCCUUCAACUAUGGGCACAACUUAGAGUCUUGCUCUGUCUCUAGAAGGUUCUCCAUUAUGGGAAAUAACCCUGAAAAUGCCUUCUGACUAUUUCACCAUCUGCCCCAUAAACUACCUGUACUCUUGCACUGUACCUGUUGAGUUCUCUCAGCCCAUCAAAUUCACACUGGGCCCACGGGCUAGUAUUUAAUGGCUCAUCACCACCUAAGAUGAGGGGAGGGGCUUCUCAUCUCUCCUCUGUGACACUGGGCCUAACGCUAACUUCCCAGCCACCUACUGCUUUUACAUUUCUCUUUCUCACAGUGAUGGUGAUGGCCCAUUUGUAAUAUCUGCUCCAAGGAAAGCCCAUGCUGUUACCUACAGCUGUAAAUUUGUUUCCACUAGAAUGUACUAUCUUUUCUUUCCUCUGUAUGUAAUUUCCUUGGUAAAAGCACCAUGUCUUUGAAUCCACAUCUCAUUCCCACAUCUUUGUGCUUCAGAUACUGACAAACCUGCAUAUGCCUCCCGAAUGUAUAAGUUAAUGAAUAAAUGACCGAAUGCAUCUGGAGUUCUAAUGUUCUAAGAUCUUGUCUCAAAAAGAAUUCUUAAUUGAAAAUAAUCUGAUGACUCAUCUUUCAGUAUGGUAGAUUAAUUUGCUACUGUGUGGGAUACUGUUCUAUCCCAUCUUUGCCGAAAGGGGUAAAUGUAGUGUCAUUUCCAUCCCAAAAUUUUCGGCUAGCUUUAAUCUGAUGGUGGAAAUUCCUAAAUACCUAUUCUUUCUUAUUUCAUGUACUUUCAUAAGAUCAUUAAAAGCAGGAGCUUUGUUUGUCCUGUUUGUUACCUAGAGCAAGAUCUCUGACACAAUUGGCAUCUGUCAAAUAUCUUUUUAAUGACAUGGUAUGCCAGCAAUGGUGAUGAAAUGAGUCAGUAAAAUAGUAUUUUAACUAACAUUUACUGCAUGCAUCCUGAGUCAGCUACUGUGAUGGCAUUGUACCUAGGAAGAAGUCAGACACUUCCAAAUUCCUCAUAAAGCUUAAAGUCCAGUGGGGGGACCUGGGGGAAGGAUGGAUCUGUUUUUUCUUUUCUUUUCUUUCCUUUUUUUUUUUUAAAGACAAGAAAAGUAUAGUAAAUGGCUGAAGAAUCCUAAGCCACUAUAGGAAUAGGGGUUCUGAAAAAGAAUAGUAGAAAUAAAAGCGGAGAGCAGGGUUUGGAUAUGAGAGAGGAACCAGUAAGCUUGGCCGCUUCUUGAGUGUCGGAAGUGAGGAGAAAGAAAGAACUGAAGAUGAUUUCAGGUUUCUGGUGUGGAUGACUGGGUGACAGUGGUGUCAUUAAUCAGGACAGAGGAAACUGGAGGGGAAGCAGGGCGGGGGGAAGGAUGACCAGUUAGGCUCGGGGCGCAGAGAGAUAAAAGCUGUCUGAGGGAGCCAUGAGAGCAUAUGUUCAGUAGGCACUAGAACAGGGAAGUGUAGUGUUCAAGUGGGUAGUCAGGUUUGGGACACAGGUUUAGAACUUGUGAGCAUAAACAUGUUAGUAAAGCUACGGGGAUGGCCUCUGCUAAAGCACAUGGAUUAAGAAAAGAAAAAGGCAUCAGAUCAGUUCAUGAGAAUUACCCAUUGCCCUCUCACCCUGAGGUCAUCCCAUGAACCUGUAUAUAGUUAACAUCAGGAAAGAUGCAGUUCGAUGUUCUUGCUUUGGAAAUACCAGUACCUGGAAGAGGAGGAAACGCUACUUCAGAGUCCGUGGUGUUCUGAGAAUUUCCAGAUUGUGGGCCUGAGGGAAGAUUAAGGACAUUAAAAUAGUCACUUCUCAUGUCUCAGGAAUCUUGGCCAAUGUGAUGGAGGCUCCCCUUUGAAAGUACCUCCUGCAGGCCUGUUCAAGAUGCACCUAGCUGAGAACCACACCCACCACCGAGAAGCAAAAGCCUAUACACCUUCGUGGCACAACAGAUGAGUCUCUGAACGUGGCUCUUUCUGCUUUCUACGAUGAAAGACAGCAUCAGAUGUAGCAUCAAGAAGUCUCUUACUUUAUAAGUUUCACGGUGGCUCCUGGGGUGACCCCUACUGCCUACCAGGUGUGUGCAAGGAGUGUCUCAUGCAGAGCCGGGCCGGGCUUUAGAGAGACCUAAAAAGGACAGGCAUCUGCUCGUGGACACUUCACUUUGCCAAGACGUACCACAGCAGAAAAUCAGGACGAGGUGACCUCCUGGUCGCCCCUCAAUCAGUGUAAAGUCAGUUUCCCAAGUAUCACAGAACAAGAGAGUGGCCAAGCCAGGGUAUGAGUGCAAACCUGUCUUCGUUAUCAUCCAUAGACUCUUAAUCAAGUAUGCCACAUAGGGCACUGCACGAUAACACAGGUGCCAGGAUCCCUAACCACCGCCUCAGUUGCAGUAUUCGGUCGCUUAAAAUCACUCAACAUAUUAGUAAAUCCUCUUCGGUAACUUUUUUGAUUGUCAAUUUUAAAGAUAAGAAUUUAAUUGAAAUUUGUUUAAGGUUUUAUAAAGAUCUCAGUAGAACAACACCCACCCGAGAAGCUUAUUCCGAAAACUUUAAGAAUUGGCAUAAGCUGACAAUUGAGAAAUACUCCCAACUCUUUUUUUCAUGGUACCUAUUGGAGACCAGAUUUCCAUAUACAAACGGUGGUCCAUUUCCCUGCUGCGAAUGGAGGACAGCCGCAGGGAACCCCAUAAAACUUCAAGCCCAAGGUAGCACGCUGCACUUGACCCAUCCCACCCAUCUAGACUGCUGGAGUAAAUUAACCAUCAGUAACUUCAAGGGCAUUUUCUGGAGGAGGCCUUUUAUGGUAAUAGAAAGUCGGUCUUCUUAUGACCAAGAAAUUUCUCUUAGAAGGAUCUCUCCCAUUAGAGUGCAUCCGAAAAUUACAUCUAAUUGUCAUGUUCUAUGGGCCUACAAAGAUUGGUAGAGAGAUGAGGAAGAGACAAAGCCCUAUACCCCUCACUGAGGAGGCACCAUGGGACAACUUGAGAGGCACACCCCACACAUGGGGAGUCACAGUGGGUUAUACAAGUGCCUCUAGGGUUCGUGAACUGUGGAUGGAAAGGAAUGGGACAAGGAUGAAGGCUUUGGCUAUUCUAAAAGUAUUCUGGGCCCUUAUUGUUAUUUGUUGGUUGUCUCUAAUUUGGGGGGUAUGUUAAAUGAAAGAGUUACUGAAAGAUAAAUGAGAAGUUCAUUACUCAUUGGUAAAUGCUUGCUGGGUCACUCAGCAGGCAUAGGCUUCCCCCAAGCCCCAGGAGAAAAAGGCUUCUCAUUUUCAAAGAACAUCUUCUCUUUCUAAAUGGCUUUGGCAUGUGCAAGAGAGACCAGGGGCUGGACUCCCCUGGAUCUCCUGUGUUUUCUGUGGGGAGGGACUAAGUGACCACAGGAGGGGCUGCUCAGAUGUCUGAGCCCAGGAUUAGGCCCUCAGAAGGACUGGAGGUGGGGGUUUGGGGAGGCUCACAGAGUGGUCUGCAGCCGGGUCCCACACUAGUGGACAGUCUUACUUCGAAGAAGGUGGGAGGGGGUAACUAGAAGACAGAGUCCACUUAAAAUCUUCACUUUUCUGUAAGCGCUGAAUUUAUUCUCUGAGGGUUUCACCAUCACCGAAAUACAUUUUAUUCCUCCUGGAGAGCACAGUUUUGGAGAGGGGUUACAAAGUGAAUUUGAUUACAGACCUGAAGUUCUUAUGUCAGAUGACUGUGUUCCCUGGACUUUAACGAGAGAGAGAGACAGAGAGAGAGACAUUGGCUGAUUGAAUGCCUUGCCAGGGUGCCUGGAGAGUACAUGAAACUUUUCGGGCUGCUCCCAUGAACUUCAACAAAUCAGCUGCCACAUAUUCAGGAUGGGGAACGAGCUUCGAUCCAAAGAAGGCUACUGAGGCCGGGAACAAAAAAGAAAGAGGAGACACAGAAUAGAGCCACGGAUAGAGAAACGGGGCCCCGAAGCCAGAAACCAGGAAGUUGUGCGCAAACUAACACGAGCAGGGAAGAAACCCAGUGUCAGGCACAGACACAGGGCCUACAUGAACUUCGGUCUGAGUCAUUGACUCUUACUUGAGGACAGCCCCAGCGUCUCCGCAAGGUGGGUGUCUUCCUCACAGAUGUGACAGAUAAAGAUCUGGCACGCCCGUGGCCCUUUUCGCAGGA